GUGCUCGCUUGGGCAGCACAUAUACUAAAAUUGGAACGACACAGAGAAGAUUAGCACGGCCCCUGCGCAAGGAUGAUACGCAGGAAAAAAAAAUGACUCCUU